UACGAAGGGGGCUAGCGUUGCUCGGAAUCACUGGGCGUAAAGGGUGCGUAGGCGGGUCUUUUAGUCCGGGGUGAAAUCCUGGAGCUCAACUCCAGAACUGCCUUUGAUACUGAGGAUCUUGAGUCCGGGAGAGGUGAGUGGAACUGCGAGUGUAGAGGUGAAAUUCGUAGAUAUUCGCAAGAACACCAGUGGCGAAGGCGGCUCACUGGCCCGGUACUGACGCUGAGGCACGAAAGCGUGGGGAGCAAACAGG
rnacentral:rRNA from 1 species